UACGUAGGGUGCAAGCGUUGUCCGGAAUUAUUGGGCGUAAAGAGCUCGUAGGCGGUCUGUCACGUCGGCUGUGAAAACUCGGGGCUCAACCCCGAGCCUGCAGUCGAUACGGGCAGACUAGAGUCCGGCAGGGGAGACUGGAAGUUCCUGGUGAUAGCGGUGAAAUGCGCAGAUAUCAGGAGGAACACCGGUGGCGAAGGCGGGUCUCUGGGCCGGAACUGACGCUGAGGAGCGAAAGCCGUGGGGAGCGAACAGGA
rnacentral:rRNA from 1 species